rnacentral:piRNA from 1 species
UAAGGGCAUCUGUCAUAGUGAAAA